rnacentral:rRNA from 1 species
GGAGCUAACGCGUUAAGUAGACCGCCUGGGGAGUACGGCCGCAAGGUUAAAACUCAAAUGAAUUGACGGGGGCCCGCACAAGCGGUGGAGCAUGUGGUUUAAUUCGAUGCAACGCGAAGAACCUUACCUGGUCUUGACAUCCACGGAAGAAUCCAGAGAUGGAUUUGUGCCUUCGGGAACCGUGAGACAGGUGCUGCAUGGCUGUCGUCAGCUCGUGUUGUGAAAUGUUGGGUUAAGUCCCGCAACGAGCGCAACCCUUAUCCUUUGUUGCCAGCGGUCCGGCCGGGAACUCAAAGGAGACUGCCAGUGAUAAACUGGAGGAAGGUGGGGAUGACGUCAAGUCAUCAUGGCCCUUACGACCAGGGCUACACACGUGCUACAAUGGCGCAUACAAAGAGAAGCGACCUCGCGAGAGCAAGCGGACCUCAUAAA